rnacentral:tRNA from 1 species
GGUCGGGAUAGCUCAGCUGGUAGAGCAGAGGACAGAAAAUCCUCGUGUC